CUACGGGUGGCACCAGUGGGGAAUCUUGGACAAUGGGCGCAAGCCUGAUCCAGCCAUGCCGCGUGAGUGAUGAAGGCCUUAGGGUCGUAAAGCUCUUUCGCCAGAGAUGAUAAUGACAGUAUCUGGUAAAGAAACCCCGGCUAACUCCGUGCCAGCAGCCGCGGUAAUACGGAGGGGGUUAGCGUUGUUCGGAAUUACUGGGCGUAAAGCGCGCGUAGGCGGACUAGUCAGUCAGGGGUGAAAUCCCGGGGCUCAACCCCGGAACUGCCUUUGAUACUGCUAGUCUAGAGUUCGGGAGAGGUGAGUGGAAUUCCGAGUGUAGAGGUGAAAUUCGUAGAUAUUCGGAGGAACACCAGUGGCGAAGGCGGCUCACUGGCUCGAUACUGACGCUGAGGUGCGAAAGUGUGGGGAGCAAACAGGAUUAGAUACCCCAGUAGUC
rnacentral:rRNA from 1 species